rnacentral:rRNA from 1 species
AUUGAACGCUGGCGGCAGGCUUAACACAUGCAAGUCGAGCGGGGAAGGGUAGCUUGCUACCUGACCUAGCGGCGGACGGGUGAGUAAUGCUUAGGAAUCUGCCUAUUAGUGGGGGACAACAUUCCGAAAGGAAUGCUAAUACCGCAUACGCCCUACGGGGGAAAGCAGGGGAUCUUCGGACCUUGCGCUAAUAGAUGAGCCUAAGUCAGAUUAGCUGGUUGGUGGGGGAAAGGCCUACCAAGGCGACGAUCUGUAGCGGGUCUGAGAGGAUGAUCCGCCACACUGGGACUGAGACACGGCCCAGACUCCUACGGGAGGCAGCAGUGGGGAAUAUUGGACAAUGGGCGAAAGCCUGAUCCAGCCAUGCCGCGUGUGUGAAGAAGGCCUUUUGGUUGUAAAGCACUUUAAGCGAGGAGGAGGCUACUUAGAUUAAUACUCUAGGAUAGUGGACGUUACUCGCAGAAUAAGCACCGGCUAACUCUGUGCCAGCCGCCGCCGUAAUAC